rnacentral:lncRNA from 1 species
AAGCAGGUUAAUAUGAGGUCUUGGAUUUUGAAAUUGUAAUGAGGUAAUCUCUUAGCAACUAAGCUUAAAGCUAAUGUCAGGCUUCACUUGAAAUUGCCUGUUAAGAUAGCUUUGGUCAAUCAUUGCUAGGUUUCAAAAAAAGAGCGUGUGGGCCGUUCUUGCUCCAUUGUGAUAAAUGUGACGACUCAAGGAUUUAGCGGUGGACAAUGGGAUGUAGAAUUCGAUUGAUCUGGCACGGUGCCCGCCGCUUUCUAGAAUGAGGAGAAAGUUGACAGUUGGAUGAAGAAAAGCUUUAUGGAGCAAGUGUCAUUAAAGCUGACCUUCAGGAACAGGUCCGAUGUUGUUGCAGGCAGUCCUGGGUGAGUUAUUACAGAAAGUGCAGAGAUCACUGGAUCAGAGGUAAAAAGCACACGAGAGCUCGCCUGAGGAAGCAAGCAAAUGAACUGCCCCAAAGCCAGGAGUCUUCCAGCAUAUUCUGAGCUUGAUCCCAAUGUGUGGCUAGAGCCUCAUAAACCACAACAGGCCUGUGUGGGAUGAGGGUGAGGUUCCUCUCAGUCUCCUGGCCUUCCUCUUGCUCAGCAUUCUGAGCCUGAGCUUCCUGGGGUUUCCUGGCUCAGGCUGAAGAAUCGGCACAUACCAACUGCUUCCCAGCUGCCUGAGCCCCCUGAGCCAAUUGCACUGAAUUCUUGACAGUGAGGUUCCUCAAGCACAAUCCUGUUGGAAGUAAGGGGCACAACAAGUGCUCCCCUCUUCCACCCUCCCCUCUGGGAGGAUGUUUCCAUAGAUGGUGCUCAUCUCCUAGAUGUGGCACUCGUGGGUGGGGUAGUGUUAUCUGUCCAGAUUGUGCCUGGUUAGACUGAGGUCCUAUCUAGUCAUUUGCCCCAAGCAGGGGCCAAGAUUUAGGUCAAGCAUCUUCUCAUUACACAGGACACACUCACCUACUGGCCCAGUCCUGCUGCUUUUGCUGUCGGAGAUGCAGACUAGGGCUAAUUGUCUCCAUUUAAAGUAGAUUGAAAAAAAAAAAUCCCUUUUUCUUUAGUCAGGAUAGUGUAGGCUGCGCUUCAACAACAAAACCCUAGAAAGCUCCAUAGCUUACAAACCGGAGGUUUAUUUCUUCCUUUGCUGUAUGUCCAUUGUGGGUUGGCUGUGGCUCUGUCUCAUGUCGUCUUUACUCUGGGCCCCAGGCUGGUGCCACAGGCCCUAGCUGGGGAUGAGGGGCGGGGAGGAAGGGGUGGGGGAGCAUCAUGAACCAUCCCUUGGCCCUUAAAAUUUCUGCUUGGAAGUGACACAAGGCUCUUCUACUCCAAUUCCAUUGGCCAAAGUCAAUCAUAUGGCUAAGUCUGCUGGCAGUGGGAGAGGGAAGGGACAAUCCUUCGCCAGGGAGCAGCAUGGACUAUUUGUGAAAAAUAGGACACACGUGGUCACCAAGAGAGGCAUCCCUCAAUUUCAUUGUAAAAUCACCUGCCUUAACUUACACAUAUUAACAGAGUCUUUAUUUGCUGUCUUAAGAAACAGAGGUAAAGUCAGGUCAGGUGAGGGGUUGAGCAAUAACAGAUUCAAAGUGCAGCAGGUGAUUGAGGUUAGAGGAAUGGAAUGGGCAGCAAGAUCAGGGAAGAAGGAGGAGCCUGAGUGUGGGGGCCCUUGGGCACUAGGGGGUCUGGAAUUCUUCUUUAGGCAGUGAGGUUUCUCGGAAGAUUUUAGAGUGUUGGGAGGCAUGCUCUUCCUGGGGAGAUCCUCAAAGGCAUUAUAAAGGAGGAAUUGAAGGCUGGGUACCCCUUGGAAACCUUGACCAGGAAAGUAACGAUGAAGAUCUGAUUUUAGAGCUCCUUUGGGAAAAAGGAGAUAGAGGUGGUUAAAGUCCAAAAUUUGACGUCAGUUUCAGACAGAUUUAAGUGCAAGAUCUGCCUUUGAAAUAGCAUAGCUAGGUGAUUCGCGGAAAGUUCCUCUGCCUCUCUAAACCUAUUUCCUUCCAUGGUUUGUCAUGGGGACCAAAUAGGGGAACAUAUGUAAAGUCUCAGCAAAAAGCGUUAUACCUAGAAAGACUGUCCACGCGGAAAAGCAGAGACACCGGAGAUCCAGAAUCAUAGGCUUUGGUGACUGCCUGUGAAGAGCGCGGAUGAGGGAGGAUUUGAAGAGAGUGCCGCAGGGGCUAGGGUGGGCAUGGUAACGCCAUUCAUCUAUACAGGAGCUGGUCAUGUUUGGAGGAGGACAGACACUGAGUCUGAGAUCCCAGGGAGACGUCCAUGGAGAAGGUUCCCAGCUGGGGCUUACAAAUGCGAGGUAGGCUCAGGAGCGGGGACUCCUGUGGUGAGUCAUUUGCUGGUUGUGUGGACAGAUGGUUCCUGAGGCUCUGCUGCAGAACAUACUUAAUUUUGUACAUUUGAGCACACCUGCAUACCCCCAAGAGCUGGGGAAGAGACUAUUCUCCAGGCUGAGGCUCCCUUAGGCCAGUGGCUCUCAAACUAGAGUGCACCAGCAUUACCUGGAGGGCUUUCUCAGUCUAUGGUUUCUGAUUAGGUGGGUCAGGGGUGUGCCCUGAGAGGCGGCAUUUCUAACGAGUUCCCAGGGGCUGCUGCUGCUGCUGUUGUCAGGAGACCACACUUCCAGAAGCACUCUCUUUGGCGGUUAGAGAACUUGGAAUGGAAGCACCUCCUCUCUGCACUGGGGCACGACAGCCCCCACGCGAAAGAGGACUUCCUAACCUGUUUUCCUUGCUCACAUGCUUCCCGCAUCGCACAGUGUCCUGGAGAGAGUCAGAACGAAGCAAUGGGGGUCACAGUCAAGAAGGCUGCAGGCAGGAGCCCAGUCUCCUGCUGACAGACAGUGUGGAGAAGACAAAGGGGCACAGGGCUGCUCCUCCAGAAAUGGCAUCCAGGUUCCCAGGCUUGGGGAAAAACGAACAUGAUUCUAUGGCUCGGGGACAGACAGAAAGGCCAAUGGAAUGGAAUCAAGUGCCUAGAUGUUGACCCAAUAUACCUGGAAACUUGAGAUCGUAUAGAAGUAGCAUUGAUGUGAGUGUGGAAAGGAUGGCCUAUUCAAUAAAUGGUACCAGGACAUUUAUCUAGCUGAAAAAAAAAGAUCCUACAAAGUUCUUGUUUAUGCUUUCUACAAGCAAGAACAUUCUCCUAUAUAAUCUCAACACAACCACCAAAAUCAGGAAAUUAAUGCUGACACAUUACUAUCAUCUAAUUCUCAGACCUCCAUUCAAGUUUCAAAAUUGUCCCAAUAAUGACCUUUACGGAAAAGAUAUACGGUUCUAAAUCACAUGUUGCCUCAGUUAUGUCUUUUUAGUCUGUAUCAAUCUGGAACAAUUCCUCAGUCUUUUCUUGACUUUCCUAAUCUUGACCCUUUUGAAAAUUACAGGCAAGUUAUUUUGCAGAAUUAUCCCUCAAUCUGGGUUUCCUUAAUGUCUCCUUGUGAUUAGAUCCAGGUUACUUUUCUUUUUUUGGCAGGAAUAUUGCAGAAGUGAUGCUGUAUUCUUCCUGAUACGUAAGAUGUGAGGCAAAAAAAAGUCGUACUAAAUGAUUAUUCCAUUUACAUAAUAUUAAAAAAUACAAACUAAAUAAUGUAUUUUUAAGAUACACACAUACUAGUAAUACUAUAAAGAAAAGCAAGGAAAUGAUAAACACAAAUCGAGGAUAAUGAUAAAAUCUAGGGAAGAGGGAGGAAAAUGUGAUUGGGAAAGCGUGUGGGAGCUUCAAGUGUUAUUUUAUUUUUCAUAUUUUAUACAUAAGUUGUAAAUCUUUUGUUUGCAUGACAUAUUUCCUAGUAUUUUAGAAAAUAAAACUCAUUUCAGAUGCUCAUUUUUCUGAUUUUGCAGUGGGCUAAUGGAAGGUUUUCUGGUCUUUGAGCUAGCGUCUGGAAACCAUGCCCUAGCUCACAAUGAUGAUGCAGAAUGACAGUGUUUGUGUAUACCUGUUGCCCCAGCCUAAUUAUUAAUAGUGCUCUCAGAAGUGUUCCAGAUUGGAGGAUAAAUUAUGCCAAGUUCUACCUAUGUGCAUAUGGCACCUUCAUUCUCAAGAGUUCAGAAGAGCGCUUAAUGAACUGCGUCCUCCUCUCAGACCUCAUCCAUCUUGCUAGAUGACAGGGAAGCAUCCCUGACAGAACCAGCCACUGGACCCGGGCCUGCAGUUGGCCAGUCUCGAAGCUGGGGCUGGAACCGGGGUCUCCUCACUUCCUCCAAGUGUCUGUUCUUGUGCAGCCUCUGCCUUGUCUGAGUCUUAGAGUAGGCCUGGAAAAUGCUGACCCCGCAAACAGGAGCGAUUGCAUUAACACCAUUGAUCCUCGUGUCUAGAACAAGAUUUAGG